UACGGAGGGAGCUAGCGUUGUUCGGAAUUACUGGGCGUAAAGCGCACGUAGGCGGCUACUCAAGUCAGAGGUGAAAGCCCAGGGCUCAACCCUGGAACUGCCUUUGAAACUAGGUAGCUAGAAUCUUGGAGAGGUCAGUGGAAUUCCGAGUGUAGAGGUGAAAUUCGUAGAUAUUCGGAAGAACACCGGUGGCGAAGGCGGUUCUCUGGGCCUGUUCUGACGCUGAGGAGCGAAAGCGUGGGGAGCAAACAGG
rnacentral:rRNA from 1 species